GACGAACGCUGGCGGCGUGCCUAAUACAUGCAAGUAGAACGCAGUUUCGAACGGGUGCGUAACGCGUAGGUAACUUCCUGGUAGCGGGGGAUAACUAUUGGCAACGAUAGCUAAUACCGCAUACUACUAGAUGGACCUGCGUUGUAUUAGCUAGUUGGUGGGGUAACGGCCCACCAAGGCAACGAUACAUAGCCGACCUGAGAGGGGGAUCGGCCACGCUGGGACUGGGACACGGCCCAGACUCCUGCGGGUGGCAGCAGUAGGGAAUCUUCGGGAAUGGGAGGAACGCUGAACGAGCAACGCCGGGUGAGUGAAGGAGGUUUUCGGGUCGUAAAGCUCUGUUGUUAAGGAAGCGGUACUUAACCAAAAAGGGACGGCUAACUACGUGCCAGCAGCCGCGGUAAUUC
rnacentral:rRNA from 1 species